rnacentral:lncRNA from 1 species
CGGGUCAAGGGUUGGGAAAUCCGGCUACCAAUAAUACCGAACUUCUACAAUGGUGAAGUCUUGGUGGGAACUAGCUUAAAAAGCUAGUAAAAUAGUUCUCGCGAAGUUCGGCGAGCAUUUGAAUGUUUUCGGCACAAACCGGACGCGAAAACGGGCUCCAAGAGCUGAAAUUUGUGUAGAGUGCAAAAUUUUGUGCUGAGUACCGGUACUGGAAAAUUGGGUACCAGUACUGGACUGGCCGGGUACCGGUACUAGAAACGGGGUAUCGGUAUGCAGUGUUAAAAAAUGUGACAGAAUGCAGUUUUGAGCUGCGGGACCUACGG